rnacentral:rRNA from 1 species
AUGAUCCAAUUGCAUAGGUUGAGGAUCAUGUUACAAAAUGUCAACCCGACUAGUGGUGAUGAUUCUCCUUGGUGGAUCUGGAACAAAAAUGACAAAUUCACUGUCAAAACCAUGUACAAUCAUCUCUUUGAUGCUUGUCCCGACAUAUCCUUGAAACACCCAUGGAAAGCUAGAAUCCCACUAAAAGUUCGGUGGUCACAGUACCAGUUGUCACUAAUCAUGGUUGGCCAGGUUUACAAAACAAAGGUGAUCGCGCGACGCUGGAACAAGGCUCACACAGGGCCGCAAUAA